rnacentral:rRNA from 1 species
AGUUGAACGAAGCGCUUAAAUGGAUUUCUUCGGAUUGAAGUUUUUGUGACUGAGUGGCGGACGGGUGAGUAACGCGUGGGUAACCUGCCUCAUGCAGGGGGAUAACAGUUAGAAAUGACUGCUAAUACCGCAUAAGCGCACAGUGCUGCAUGGCACAGUGUGAAAAACUCCGGUGGUAUGAGAUGGACCCGCGUCUGAUUAGCUAGUUGGUGGGGUAACGGCCUACCAAGGCGACGAUCAGUAGCCGGCCUGAGAGGGUGAACGGCCACAUUGGGACUGAGACACGGCCCAAACUCCUACGGGAGGCAGCAGUGGGGAAUAUUGCACAAUGGGGGAAACCCUGAUGCAGCGACGCCGCGUGAGCGAAGAAGUAUUUCGGUAUGUAAAGCCCUAUCAGCAGGGAAGAAAAUGACGGUACCUGACUAAGAAGCACCGGCUAAAUACGUGCCAGCAGCCGCGGUAAUACGUAUGGUGCAAGCGUUAUCCGGAUUUACUGGGUGUAAAGGGAGCGUAGACGGUUGUGUAAGUCUGAUGUGAAAGCCCGGGGCUCAACCCCGGGACUGCAUUGGAAACUAUGUAACUAGAGUGUCGGAGAGGUAAGCGGAAUUCCUAGUGUAGCGGUGAAAUGCGUAGAUAUUAGGAGGAACACCAGUGGCGAAGGCGGCUUACUGGACGAUCACUGACGUUGAGGCUCGAAAGCGUGGGGAGCAAACAGGAUUAGAUACCCUGGUAGUCCACGCCGUAAAC